rnacentral:lncRNA from 1 species
UGUUGCAUAUUUUAGUUGUUUUUUUGUUUGUUUUUAUGUUCUGUGGUAUAUUUUGAGUGUUCUGUGGUAUAUUAUAUGUGUUCUGUGGUAUAUUUUUAGUGUUCUGUGGUAUUCUGUGGUAUUCUGUGGUGUUCUGUGGUAAAAAGACGCUCCGCUUCCUCCGUACAGGCGUGUUGACAGAUAUCCAUGAAGAUUUAAGUCACGGAGCAGUGGUUUCAUCUUUGUCGUCUUCACAACGAUUUGUAGAAAAUAUGCCAUACUUAAAGCUGCUGUCGAAUUAUUUAACCACUGAAAUUGGUUCCAUAAAGUCAGGCUCCACAGAUUCUGAACCCGAUUUGUUUGAGACAGAAUGGUUAUCGUGUCAGUUAUGAAUAUCCGCUGCGUUAUCGUCAAUGAUUUCAUCACACAUCAUUACAUGUGCCUGAAUCUGUAAAAACAGUUUACUAAUAAACUUUUUUGUUUGUUAGUUGUCUUAAAAUUGACACGAGACGACAGCUUAAAGUACUCCUCCGUUACUUCAUGGAUACCUGUAAACAAUUUCCAUGUGCUUUAUCAUUAAAUGGUCACAUGAACGCUUGACGGGAGGCUAAGAAAAACCGAAAUUGAAACGCGUAAUUGACCCAGACUUUAAAUCAUUUCCGGAAAGGACCCAAAGUUCCGGAUCGUGUCAAAAGAGGUAUUAAAAAAAAUUUCUUCAAAUUUAAAGCAAUAAAAUUUUCACAGUCGGGAGGAUUUUCAAGGGUCGGUCGGUAAACUGCAAACAAACAAUAUUUUAAUUUAAGCCCUAGAAGUCUAAAUAUUAUACUAUUUACCAUGAUUACUGAAAUUAUGUCGUCUACAAAUAGGGCAAUUUUGAUUCAUCCAGUUAGCUAAAAUGGUAAUGACCCUUAAAAUCAUCCAAUGAUCUUUUGAGAUCACCAGCAGCCACACGUUGAUUAAAUUUUUUUAUACAAUGGGUUUGGAAAGGGAUAAAUUUCCAUAGAAUUAGAGAAAUGUAUAUAUUGUAUAUUUAUCAGUCAGAGCUCUGAGUCAGACAUAAUAUAAGUCUAAAUCUGCAUUUGACUCGUAGAGGUCUAAGGCAGCAACCAUUUGAUUUUCGGGGGGGGGGGGAUGGUUAUUUUUGGAAAAAAAAGUUUGUUUCCAGGUUUUGGUGAAAAAAAUAAUUUUUUAUGCACCCUGAGAAAAAAAAUUGUUUGUUUCACCCUCAGCUAGCCUGCCACUGUAUGUAAUGCUAAAAUUAAAAGAAAAAAAAUGAUUUCGGUUUGUCGCAAAAAAAAUAGAUUGUACUUCGCUAAAGGCGAAAAAAAGGUUUUCACAGAAAAAAAACCCAUAGCCCCCCCCUUUCCAAGAAAAUCAAAUGGUUGCUGCCUAAAUUUGUAAGUUUUUGGAUUUGUCUCCCUUUAUGCCUAAAUUUAUAAGUUUUUGGAUUUGUCUCCCUUUAAUGCAAGACAAAAUACGACUUUAAUAAGUCAAAUAUUGUUAAGCAAGAAAUAACUGACCAGAAUCAAAAAUUUGCAAACUUAUCGACUCCUACAAGUCAGUAAGUUAUCAAAAUUGGUUCACUUCAAGACCCACCCCUACUAAUAUAAAAAGGUCACUCAUCUAAAUGAAAUAAUGACAACAUUGAAAAACAAUGCUUUGUCUUCUAAAGAAAAAUAUGAAUGAGAGUCUAAAAAAUCGGAGAUAAUGUUACUUAACCUUACAAUGCAACCACCCGGAGCCACACCUAAUGAGGUAGAACAUCUGUGUUUAGUAAGGAUGUUCAAUUGGAUAUUUAAAUAUAGGUAGCUCAAGUCCUUGUGAACUCUCAGGCAGGUUUUUGCUGUAAUAGGUGGUGUACUUUGGCCACCAAGUCAAAGUAAGUUUUUUCAUCAACAUAAAUAGACCUUAACAAGUCUGUCAUUUUCUGACUUAGAUGAGUCUAAAAUUGAAAAUAUUUUUUUUGAUAAAUACAUGUUUGGACUUCUGUUAGUCAAAAUCAAAAAUCGACUUGUUUAUGUCUGAGCUCUG